rnacentral:rRNA from 1 species
CCGCCAGACUCCUACGGGAGGCAGCAGUGGGGAAUAUUGGACAAUGGGGGGAACCCUGAUCCAGCGACGCCGCGUGAGUGAAGAAGUAUUUCGGUCUGUAAAGCUCUAUCAGCAGGGAAGAAAGAAAUGACGGUACCUGACUAAGAAGCCCCGGCUAACUACGUGCCAGCAGCCGCGGUAAUACGUAGGGGGCAAGCGUUAUCCGGAUUUACUGGGUGUAAAGGGAGCGUAGACGGCAAUGCAAGCCAGAUGUGAAAGCCCGGGGCUGAACCCCGGGACUGCAUUUGGAACUGUGUAGCUGGAGUGUCGGAGAGGCAGGCGGAAUUCCUAGUGUAGCGGUGAAAUGCGUAGAUAUUAGGAGGAACACCAGUGGCGAAGGCGGCUUACUGGACGGCAACUGACGCUGAGGCUCGAAAGCGUGGGGAGCAAACAGGAUUAGAUACCCCUGUAG